AGUCCACCCCCUUUUAUCCCCUGUCCUGGCACCCCACAGCCCCAGGCACCUUAAAGGGGAACCAACCCAGGUUCCUGGACUCUGGGCUCUUGGCCAUGGAAAGUCCAGCCUCUAAGCAGACCCAUUUCCCCUCCCUUCCUGUUCAUCUCCACCAACUAGGGCUACUUGUUGGAGAGAAAUGCAAAGUUGUGGACAAAGUGUUGAACCGAGGCCUGUGAAGUCAGGGCCUUGAUUUUCUCUUCUGUAAAUGAUGAUGCCUUCCAGACGGGAAAAUGGGUCAUGGAGGAGUGACUUCACCAACAUCACUCAUAGGUGCUUGUGUCCGUGGUGAGAAGGGUGAUGGAGAGAAGUGGCUGCAGUUCCCACCCAUGGAGAGGUCACUGGUGAAUCCCAGCUAAAGAGGAAGGACAGGCCCGGCCUGAGUCCCACAGGCUUACCAUCUGAGUCCUUCUGAUUGGGAUUGGGUACCAGGCGGCAGUUAUCGGGACCAGGAGGCACAUAAUCUGGGAUGCCAUCAUUGUCAUCAUCCCCAUCACACUCAUCUCCAAGUCCAUCGUUAUCAGAGUCCAGCUGGGAGCUAUUUGGCAGCUGUGGGCAGUUGUCCUUGGUGUCCUGAUGCCCAUCCCCAUCGCUAAUCAGAAGAACAGGUUGGUGAAAGUCCCGAACUUUGUCUCCCCACCCAGAGGACAACUGGCCAGGAAAUCUGCCUGUUUCUUGUCUCACCCUCUAGUCCACACUCUGCCUAACACUACGCCCUACCUCACAUUCCUAUUGACAUCUGCUGCAGGUAAUCUCUCCUCACCCAGGCCAACGUCCACAAGCCUGCCUCCCUAUUUCACAGAGACUUCCUAGCUUCCCUGCUUCAUCCCCACCUGAUCCAAAUUCUCACAGGUCCCCCAGCCACCCCUUCAGCCCCAGGCCUGCACCAUCCCCAUCCACGUCGUUGUCACAGGCAUCUCCUUCCCCAUUGCCAUCUGUGUCCUUCUGGUCAUUGUUGGGAACGUUGGGGCAAUUGUCACAGGCAUCACCAAAUGAAUCUGUAUCUGA
rnacentral:lncRNA from 1 species